rnacentral:misc_RNA from 1 species
UGUAGCUCAAAUGGUAGAGCGCUCGCUUUGCAUGCGAGAGGUACAGGGUUCGAUCCCCUGCAUCUCCAAUUUCUUAAUUUGCAACUCCUUUAUUGUUGUCAACAAUCGACACCCGUCAAACAAUAUGCACUUAAUUAAAAUGGGAUAGAAAUAAAUAUUACUUGAUACUUUGAAUUAAAAAGAAUACUUUGUAAUAUGCAAAAAAAAAA